rnacentral:rRNA from 1 species
AGGUGCUGCAUGGCUGUCGUCAGCUCGUGCCGUGAGGUGUUGCCUUAAGUGGCGCAACGAGCGCAACCCCUGUGGUUAGUUACCAGCACGUAGUGGUGGGGACUCUAGCCAGACUGCCUACGCAAGUAGUGAGGAAGGUGGGGACGACGUCAAGUCAUCAUGGCCCUUAUGUCCGGGGCUGCACACGUGCUACAAUGGACGGUACAACGGGAAGCCACCCAGCGAUGGGGAGCAGAUCCGCAAAGCCGUUCCCAGUUCGGAUUGGAGUCUGCAACUCGACUCCAUGAAGGUGGAAUCGCUAGUAAUCGCGUAUCAGCAACGACGCGGUGAAUACGUUCCCGGGCCUUGUACACACCGCCCGUCAAGCGAUGGAAGUCAGAAGUACCUGACGUUGCCUCACCAAGAGGUGCCCAGGGUAAGUCUGGUAACUGGCGCUAAGUCGUAACAAGGUAACC